AGGUGCUGGUGCGCUCUGAUUGGUCAGGUGAUCUGUAUGGCAGCGUGUUGGUGGACAGCGGCAACGCCGUCAGCGCUGACCUCCUAUUGGACGACAGCCAGCAGCACGUUUAUGUCUUAACCAACAGCAGGCUGUCCAAGGUCCCCGUCUCGUCCUGCGAGAGACAGACAGACUGCCCGUCCUGUCUCGCUGUCAGAGACCCGUACUGUGGCUGGUGUGUCCUGGAGGGAAGAUGUUCACGCAAACAUCAGUGUCGGCGCCACUUGCAGCCCAACCAUUGGCUCUGGAGCUUUGAACGGACCAAUCAGUGUGUGACCGUGCAGAGCCUGCAGCCGGCCAAUCAGAGCAAAGACGAGCAGACACAGGU